UCCUUUUCAUAAUGGAGAGGCCAGAGAUUUCUCCUCAUAGAAAUAAACCUGUUGGAUAUGGAUUUUCCAUAUCCAUUUUCCCCUCAAUGUUUGCAGUGCUUCUGUAAAAGCCGCCUUUUUGACAUCCGAAUGUUUCAUCAUCAUGGUGCCCACGGCACUCACAGGGAAUAAUCUUGUAAUGCAUGGUGGCACUGAAAUUCUGGGAAAGUCCUGUGACAUUGUGAAGCCCAUGGCAUCGCUUCCUUAGACUGAGUCAAAGCAGCAUCAAUGUUUCCCCUCUAAUGACUUUAUGUUUGAGGAUUAUGAACAUUGUAUAUGCUUGCAAUGA